GACGAACGCUGGCGGUGUGCUUAACACAUGCAAGUCGAACGGUAAGGCCCUUUCGGGGGUCCACGAGUGGCGAACGGGUGAGUGACACGUGAGUAACCUGCCCUCAUCUCUGGGAUAACAGUCGGAAACGGUUGCUAAUACUGGAUAUGAGCUUGCAAGGCAUCUUGUGGGUUGGAAAGAUUUUUUUGGUUGGGGAUGGACUCGCGGCCUAUCAGCUUGUUGGUGAGGUAGUGGCUCACCAAGGCUUCGACGGGUAGCCGGCCUGAGAGGGCGACCGGCCACAUUGGGACUGAGAUACGGCCCAAACUCCUACGGGAGGCAGCAGUGGGGAAUAUUGCACAAUGGACGGAAGUCUGAUGCAGCAACGCCGCGUGCGGGAUGACGGCCUUCGGGUUGUAAACCGCUUUCAAUUGUGACGAAGCUUUUUGUGACGGUAGCAGUAGAAGAAGCACCGGCUAACUACGUG
rnacentral:rRNA from 1 species